rnacentral:piRNA from 1 species
UGGUGACCUCUGAGGUGGUGAAGAUG